UACGUAGGGUGCGAGCGUUGUCCGGAAUUAUUGGGCGUAAAGAGCUUGUAGGCGGUCUGUCGCGUCUGCUGUGAAAAUCCGGGGCUCAACCCCGGACUUGCAGUGGGUACGGGCAGACUAGAGUGUGGUAGGGGAGACUGGAAUUCCUGGUGUAGCGGUGAAAUGCGCAGAUAUCAGGAGGAACACCAAUGGCGAAGGCAGCUCGCUGGGACGG
rnacentral:rRNA from 1 species